CCCUAUAAUUCGAAUCAGCAGCGUUCGUUUGAAAACUUCUUAAAAAAUUGACAGAUGGCGCUAAUUGCUGCGACCAGCACCCGGUACCAGCUGAGGUUGAGUGGUUAUAUUCAAUAAAAGGAAAACCGAUAAUUAUGGAACGUGAGUACGCUUCAAAAAUGACAACCAAUUUUUUUUUUCGCCAUUACAUUCCCGGUUCCAUUAGUCAGUAAUACACUGCGUCAAAGGGAAUUGACAUUAUCCUUUUUGCACCUGCGUUGAGAUCUGAAAAAUUAAAAAAAAAAAAGCUAUCUAGAGUACAAUGUACACAACACACACACGCGUAAAAUUUUAUUGCAAAAAGAAAAAACAAUUUUAUAUAGUCACAAUAAUAUUUAUUCUGGCGUGUUAAUUUGCACUCGUAGAUGAUCACGUCGAUACAGUCAGGAAACACAGAGGUUGUAGGUUGUCUGAUGUAACAUUAAAUGUGUAAAUAUAAUAUUUAUAAUAUAAUAGUACAUUUUUGAGUUACACUUGUUAACUAAAAAUAAAAUAAUACUCGAAAAAGUUAAAAU